ensembl:snRNA U6 U6 spliceosomal RNA
UGUGCUUGCUUCUGCAGUACAAUAUACUAAAAUUGGAGCGAUAUAGAGAAGAUUAGCAUGGUCCCUAUGUAAGGAUGACACGUAAAGUUAUGAAGCAUUCUAUAUUUUU